rnacentral:rRNA from 1 species
AGAACGAACGCUGGCGGCAUGCCUAAUACAUGCAAGUCGAACGAACACUUCGGUGUUAGUGGCGCACGGGUGCGUAACGCGUGGGAAUCUGCCCUUGGGUUCGGAAUAACAGUUGGAAACGACUGCUAAUACCGGAUGAUAUCGAAAGAUCAAAGAUUUAUCGCCCAGGGAUGAGCCCGCGUAGGAUUAGCUAGUUGGUGACGGUAAAGGCUCACCAAGGCGACGAUCCUUAGCUGGUCUGAGAGGAUGAUCAGCCACACUGGGACUGAGACACGGCCCAGACUCCUACGGGAGGCAGCAGUAGGGAAUAUUGGACAAUGGGCGACAAGCCUGAUCCAGCAAUGCCGCGUGAGUGCUGAAGGUCCUUAGGGUUGUAAAGCUUACUUUACCCGAGAUGAUAAUGACAGUAUGGAGAAUAACGACCCCGCUAAACUCCGACGCCAGCGACGCCGAC